rnacentral:rRNA from 1 species
UACGUAGGGUCCGAGCGUUAAUCGGAAUUACUGGGCGUAAAGCGUGCGCAGGCGGUUUUGUAAGCCAGAUGUGAAAUCCCCGGGCUUAACCUGGGAACUGCAUUUGGGACUGCAAGGCUUGAGUACAGCAGAGGGGGGUAGAAUUCCACGUGUAGCAGUGAAAUGCGUAGAGAUGUGGAGGAAUACCGAUGGCGAAGGCAGCCUCCUGGGCCAACACUGACGCUCAUGCACGAAAGCGUGGGGAGCAAACAGG